rnacentral:piRNA from 2 species
UAUUGAUCGUGGUUAGUUUUACAC